rnacentral:rRNA from 1 species
GUGUUCCAGUUAUCGCGCCAGCGGUAAUGGCUGGGUAGCUAUGUUCGGAAGGGAUAACCGCUGAAAGCAUAUAAGCGGGAAGCCCACCCUAAGAUAAGACAUCCCUCUUCAUUAGAAGACUCAAGGCCCCUUGUAGACUACAAGGUAUUAUAGGCUGGGUGUGUAAGCGUAGCAAUGCGUUUAGCUAACCAGUACUAAUCGGCCGUGAGGCUUGGCCAU